CUUCGCUGCAGGCAGGAAAGAAAGAAGAAAGAUCUGGGGAUAUAAAUAGCUUGACAAGCUGGUAAGUGCUGAAGGGGGUUGUCCAGUAAAACAUUUGGUGGUGCUUUGCCCUAGAUAUCAACUGAGGUGGGCAUGAAGAUUAAUGACUUUCACAGCUUUUGCCACAGGAGUGCUGCUCUGGCCAGCCUGGACGCGUGGAAGGGAAGGCCACCGACAAAUCUGCUGUAAAGCUGCUCUCAUUCGCAUUUAUCCAGAAAAACCCUAUUAGAUCAGCAAGGGUCAGCUGGCAAUGUGCAGACUCCAAGGUGACCUUCAGGCAUCCUCUGGGACCCUCUGAUGUGUUAAGAAUGAACCCCAGCUGCAGGGCUGGAAGGUAUACGGGCUUCGAGGCUGAAUAGUGACUAUUGCGAAUUGCGAAUACACAUUUCAGAGAAGCAAGCUGAAUUCUUG
rnacentral:lncRNA from 1 species